rnacentral:rRNA from 1 species
AUUGAACGCUGGCGGCAGGCUUAACACAUGCAAGUCGAGCGGAGAUGAGGUGCUUGCACCUUAUCUUAGCGGCGGACGGGUGAGUAAUGCUUAGGAAUCUGCCUAUUAGUGGGGGACAACAUUCCGAAAGGAAUGCUAAUACCGCAUACGCCCUACGGGGGAAAGCAGGGGAUCUUCGGACCUUGCGCUAAUAGAUGAGCCUAAGUCGGAUUAGCUAGUUGGUGGGGUAAAGGCCUACCAAGGCGACGAUCUGUAGCGGGUCUGAGAGGAUGAUCCGCAACACUGGGACUGAGACACGGCCCAGACUCCUACGGGAGGCAGCAGUGGGGAAUAUUGGACAAUGGGCGGAAGCCUGAUCCAGCCAUGCCGCGUGUGUGAAGAAGGCCUUUUGGUUGUAAAGCACUUUAAGCGAGGAGGAGGCUACCUAGAUUAAUACUCUGGGAUAGUGGACGUUACUCGCAGAAUAAGCACCGGCUAACUCUGUGCCAGCCGCCGCAGUAACAC